UCUCACUUUUCUCUCUCUCCAUCUCUUUAAAGUUUGCAGACCCUCACAUCUGUUGAAAUUCAAACCCAUCUCUCAUCAUCUCUUCAUCUUCAACCCUUCCUCCCUGCUCGAUGAUGACCAGCCGGCCACCACUAUGGGUGGCGGCGCUGGACGGUGACGAGGCGGCGGAGCACCAGCUGCCGGCGACGAAGAUAGCCGACAAAGCACGCCCCUCAUCCCCCUCGUCUCUCUUUGUUCACCUUUGUUCUGGUGGUGGCUCCGGCCGGCUGCUAGCGGCGAUUUCUCCAGCAAAGACACAAGUUUCAGUCAGGUAAUCACCCUCACUCCGGCCGGCUGCUAGCGGCGAUUUCUCCAGCGAAGACACAAGUUUCAAUCCGAUGAGCACAGAACGACCACAAGAGCCGCUUGAUUUCUUCAUUUUGGAUGGUUGAGUUUUGUUCAGAAUUAUAGUCGGAUUGAUGGACCAAGAUGUGAUUGUUUGUUCGUUUUGUUCGAAGGCUACCGAUGAUGAUGAUCUAGGUUUCAGGUUUCCUACUCCGACGUCAUUUCAGAAAAAUGGUAAUCUCAUCGGAAACUAAAUUUGUUUAGAUGUAAAAUUAUGUAAGAAUUAACUUUUUUUUUAAAUGUAAAAAAAUAAGUGUUUACAUGUUAAAUUGGAUCGAUUUUUUAAGGUGUGAUGUAAAAAGUAAAUGUUUUACAUGUUAAAUUUUAUCAGUUUUGUAAAAACUACAUGUUUUGCAUUUGAUUUAGACUAGAUUCGAAUGUUAGUUGGAUAACUUAGUGUUGAUUUAGACUAGAUUCGAAUGUUAGUUGGAUAACUUAGUGUUGUUUAGAGAGGCAAGAGGUGAAAUUUUUUUAGUAGACGAAAACACUGCGUUUUAGCGAUUUUUAUUACAAGAACCUGGAAUUUGGUUAAUGUUUAACAUCUAAAAUACUCUUCUCUGGAAUUUGAUUAGAAAUUUGUUAUGUUUUGA